UUAAAUCAGGAUCAGAUCUGACAGGAUGUGAGUGGUUCUGACUUCCAACAGACUGUGAAGGCCGGUGGAAAGGCCCAAACACCGGUCGGCCGACCGCAGCUUUAGCAACAUGUCUGCUGUGCUGAGCCAAAAUGACAGACGUAUCACAGUGUCCCAUGAAACGUACAUUUAAAGUUUAAAUCCCAGUAGAAAACAAGCAAACCAGACAGCAUCUCAAGGUUAACAAUGGUGGUUUUGUGGAUCUUUCUCAAGGAUUGCACACCUUAGAGCUAAAGGUUUGGGUUGUUGCUGAGCUAACUGGCUAAAGCUACCGGAUGUAAACACCCGACAGAAAAGCAGAAAAUCUCAGAACCAUCUGAGCAGGACGCUUGCAGAAAGGCUGGUCAUGUGGUGAUGAAGACCUGAUUAACUUCUGGUGAAAAACUGACGCAUCUUGAUGCUUUCCUCGUUUAUCAGUGUGGGGACUGCUGUGCCGAUGGUGGUCAACACAUCCAGGGUCAGAGGUUACAGCAACUGAGAGCUCAGGCCAGGCAUGUACACAGCCUCCGGUCUGACAGACGAGCGAAGAGACGACCGGCGGGCAAGCGGCUGAAUGUCAGGAUCAAAGUCUGACGAACUG